rnacentral:lncRNA from 1 species
GUCACUCUGAUCACUAUUAGAUAGUGAUAAAUUGAUGGGAUCAAAUUUUGAUAGCUAGUAUCAAAAGUUCAAAAUAGUCCUGAAGCACGAAUGGAUCUUGUAUGUAUUGACAGAUCCAGCACCCGAGGAGCCAGCUCCGAAUACGCAUAGCAUAGUCAGAGACACUUAUCAGAAGUGGCUCAAUGAUCAAACUACGGUUCGUUGUAUUAUGCUGACG